CCUACGGGGGGCUGCAGUGGGGAAUAUUGGACAAUGGGGGGAACCCUGAUCCAGCCAUGCCGCGGGUGUGAAGAAGGCCCUCGGGUUGUAAAGCACUUUCAGUGAGGAAGAACGCCUGGUGGUUAAUACCCAUCAGGAAAGACAUCACUCACAGAAGAAGCACCGGCUAACUCCGUGCCAGCAGCCGCGGUAAUACGGAGGGUGCGAGCGUUAAUCGGAAUUACUGGGCGUAAAGCGCGCGUAGGUGGCUUGAUAAGCCGGUUGUGAAAGCCCCGGGCUCAACCUGGGAACGGCAUCCGGAACUGUCAAGUUAGAGGGCAGGAGAGGAAGGUAGAAUUCCCGGUGUAGCGGUGAAAUGCGUAGAGAUCGGGAGGAAUACCAGUGGCGAAGGCGGCCUUCUGGACUGACACUGACACUGAGGUGCGAAAGCGUGGGUAGCAAACAGGAUUAGAUACCCCAGUAGUC
rnacentral:rRNA from 1 species